CCUUGCAACAACAGCUGCAGAGGGAGGGGGUGUUAGGAGGAGACAGAUUAAGAGGGAUCACAGGGGGCAAGUUACCUCAGCCCCCCAAGUCAUUUAUCAGCCACGUCCAGUCACAGUGCAGCCAGAGAUUCAGUCUGAAAAGGAGGCGGGGCUACAAGGCAAUGCACUGUCAAUGCCAGGCCAGUCAGCCCAGCCAGCAUGGAAGAGAGGAGGGAAGGAGAGUGGAGACCUCACUAUCCAGCAUCAGCCUGAGCCUGCCUAAAUGUAGGAUGAUUCCUGAAAGGCAUCUUUGACCUGGAAAAGAAGCCCAUUGCACUUCUGCUGGGAGUUGUUUGGCAAGAACGGGUGGAGUGCCUCAGGUUGCCUCAAUCAGCUUUACGCAAGACAUCCUGACAGCAAGGCUGUGAAAUUGAACUGAGUCCUGGCAGCGGCUCCCUUAUAUGGAAUCCAAAACCUGCAUGAUCCGACCCUUGGAUGAUGACAUUUUUAAAUUUCCCAGUACAGCCAAGGAAUUGUUCUGCCAAAGUGGAAUCGAGGUGGAAUUUGGUAGCUGAUCCUCAAUUAACUGAUCAAUCCUGAUGGCCUACUGCCCAUAUUACUCCUUCCUCCAUCAUAAAUUUGCUUUGGAA